AGGGUAGGUUGGGGUUUUCGUCGCUCUCCAGUCUCCACCCAAUCCCCACCCCAUCGGUCUCCCCAAUCGCUGCGUCUCCCAGCUUCCUCAACUCUUCAUUGUGCAAAAGCCUUCCGGCGCUUAGGGUUCGUCCAUGGCCGCUUGCUUGGAGGCGUGGGGCUGGUCCGCGAGGGAGAUGGACCAGUGAAGAAGGCGUUGGGGCUAUGGUGGGUGGCUAGCAGCGAGGGCGGGGGUGGCCGGCGAGCUGCGAGGCGGCGAGGGCGGGGGUGGCCGGGGAGCUGCGAGGCGGCGAGGGCGGGGUGGCCGGCGAGCUGCGAGGCGGCGAGGGCGUGGUGGCCGGCGAGCUGCGAGGCGGCGAGGGCGGGGUGGCGCUCCUUUGCUCCUCACAUUUUCACCGGCAGCAACGAGCGCCCGACCUCUUUGUUCGUGGACUUCUUUCCGGUCGUCGCCUGGGAUUGUCGCAUCGGGUGGCCGGCUUCCUCUUGCAUUCACGGAGCGAGCAAAAGCAGCGGCCAUGGGCGGGCGGUUGAGCAGGCGUGCGAGCAGCUGCAGGGCGCCAUGUGUGUGGCGGCUGAUGCGGGAAAUGGAGCAGGCGGAGGGAGGAUGAGGAUUUGACGGCCGGCUGGAGGCCACGGUGGACCUGUACAGUGACGGAAGGGCGGCCAUGGGCGAGCAGUUGAGAGGGGGCGCCAGAAACUGCAGGGCUACGGAAGGGAAGCUGCAAAGGAUGCAAGCACCAUUUUAUUCCACAGCUUUAUUUAGUACGCAUCAAGCUUACCUGCAAAGGUCUGAAUCCACUGGGCAUGGGUAUCGCCGUCGUCAGUUCUCCUUGUCUUUAGGUCAAAAGUUCGGCUCUGAAGAUUGAUUACAAUUUGAUUAUUUCCCUAUUUUUCGUAUUUGAUUGCAUGAUAUAUAUAUGUGCGAUGACAUGAAGAUUAAAUCCUUUAGUGGCAUAUGAGUGUAUUAAAAGUAUCGAGAAUUGGAUCAUCCUAACUGAUACUGAGAGUGACACCAUUGUGGAAGAUGACCCGAUGUGGUUGUUAUUUUUAUUUUCCUUGAAUGACUCAUAUAGGCUGCCAUGUGAGAGCUGAUUCAUGUGGUGUGUAGCUAGCCAGCAUAGAAUAAUUCUAUUAGAAUGUUGUGAAAAUAGAUCAGGUGGUAAUUAAAUUUUCGACCUAAUGAUAUUUUCUUAUUUCAUUUUGAAUAUCCAAACAAGUUGUUUUCAUAUGAAACCCAUUGACAUGCUAGCCCAGUGCAGGAGCAAUACCACACACUAAUUUAUUUUUUUCUGAUUUAUGAUUUACUAUAUAUUGCAUUCUCUAGACACUCCAUGUAGGCAUCUUGUUUGCUUAUUCUUUUGUUUUAUGAUAAGCUGAUGGAUUGUAUACGCCGAACCAUUUGUGUUCUCUUCAUAAAUAAUGGAGGGAGUAUUUCUAAAGGACUCUCAUUUUCUAAUGUAUGAAAAUGCAGAGUUGCUUUCAAGAUACUCGACUAGGAUCUCUAAUGAGGUGGAGCCUUUCCUCUCUGCCUGAUCAUGUAUUUUGCAUUUAUGUUUUUUGCCAGUUUGUCCCUUGCUUGAGGCUUUUACUACUGCAAUGUUUCUUUUAUUUAUCUACAGUUCCGUGUCUGCCCGCUGCUCCCUCUCCGAAAUCUCGCUCCACUGCACCGUGGUACAACGGGAGACCGGCGGCGGGGAUGACCACCCAGGGAAGCGAGAGACUGAUGCAAGAUGCAUGAUAGGUUGUGUUCUUUUAUUCUUUGUCAACUGAUAAUUCCUCCGGAUAAUUAUGCACUCUUCAUUUAAUGUUUGCUUAUCAUCGAUGUUUACAAAUGUGUACAAAAUAAAUUUUUGCAUGAACUCCACGGGAUCGUGCGCCAAGGGACCGUGUGGCAGCUGUGCCGGUGGCAAGCGCCCGAGUGAUGUCGGCGGCUGGACGCAGCAGCGGUGGCCGCCGCAAGUGCCGGGAGAUGGCUUGACAAGGUGAUGUGCUUCACUGGACGCUGGCUUGUUGCUCUUCCUAGCCAUAAGUUAAUCCCAUGAUCAUGUAUGAAAAUUCAGAAGUUGAUGCAGAUAAUUUUCUUGCUGAAAAAUGCUCAGUCUAUUAUAUCUUGAGAAGCAACAUUAUUCAUGGCCUCCCUAUAGCGUCUCUAUUCCCUUACUCAGGUAUCAUCUUCCCUCUUCAUUUUUCGACGUAGGUGAUGCAGCGUUCAUUGAGGAUAAUAAUUGACGGAAUAGGACCAGUGAACUUGUUCCCUUUGCAAUGACCUGAUACAGAAAAGUACACAGCUCAUCAUAUUAGUGCUGAUUCUCUGUAGUAUUCAGUCUACUAAUAGCUAUUCUUUUCCGAAAUUUAACUGGAGUUAUAUUACCCCUCUCCCAGUUAUGUGACUAGAGUUUACAAUAUAGUCUGUUAGGGAGGUACAUGGGAAACACUCACUUCGCUGCUGCUCUGCCUCUGCAUCCUCUUCGACUUUCAAUAGGAGGAUCAUGUGAUGUCUGCUUCCACAUUGAGCCAGGUUAUGAUUGCAGUUAAAGGAAGCCCACUCAGGUUAUUGAUAGGAGAGAAAAAAAUACGCAAACAUCUAUCUUUUCAUUUCAAAUAGAACAUCAGAAACACUAUACAUCAGAUGAUUGUCCAGUUACGACUCCAGAUGGUCUGGAUUUCUUUAAAUCAAGGAAGCUCUAGAUGGCUUCUAAAAUUUAAGAUGCAGAUGUUGGAUUUCUGUAAACCAAGGUUAGUGAUGUCAUGGCUUUAGUUUCAGCUCUGGUAUAUGUUUCAUUGUCGUGACAGCUAAGCGGUUCUAGCAUUUUUUUUAGAGAAAGAACAUGCAGAAAACAUUUUCUCACAUUUUCGUUGAGGUAAAUCACAAAUGGAUACAUGAGUACGUGCCAAAGCACCCACAGUUCACUCAUCUGAGGAAGCUUGAUGGCCUUCCCUUGUUCUGUUCUAAUGAGCUGCUUUAUGGUUUCUCAGUUUUGAACACAAUACUUUGUUAGAAGAGGUAAUGGAUGGUUUUCACUAAACCAGUUGCAUUAUAGCUCUCACAUUAGGACUAAAAUAUUUCAUGAAUUUUUUAUUAACUGUUCAGUGGCUAACCCUGUGUUUCUAAGUUUGAAAUUGAGUUAUAACAUACUCUUGUUUUUGUGACUAUUAAAGUGAAAUAGUAGAGGCACUAGAUCAUUUGCUUUGAGCCUGUGAUGGUUUGUUGAAGAACAGUUUCUUUGUACUCUUUGUUUUCUCAAAAAAAAUUAAGCCAUAUAAGUACUGAGGUGAAAUUUGUUGCUUGCAGAGCUUAUAUAGUGGUAGACCCAUGUCACUUGAAUUGAUAUUGGUGCAUACAGAUAUAGCUGGUCCAGUUCACCAUUCCUUUUGUCGUACUUCAGGAUGUAACCGUAUUUUGACUUAUAUAGAAUCGUUAGUUUCAAACGAGAGCAAGGUACAUAAAGCCAUAAAGGAGCUCAAGAUGUUCUUAUUCACAUGAAGUACAGUGAUUAUUAAAUAGACAUGGAUGUGGGUGAUAGUUUCAGCGAUGUAGGAGCAGGGCCGGUCACCGUCGUCUCCCAAGACACCACUCGCACCUUGCCACCGCAAUCUCCUGCUUGACCACGAGGAGGUCAUGCCGGAAGAUUUUCGCUAAGGCCCUACCUUGCUGAACUAUGCGGAUGUCGCGCGGCCACUUAUUUUUGGGUAUGCCCUUGCCCUGCUCUGUCUGAUGUAGUGAUGGUUUAAGCCAUGGCUGCAUGCUUCUCUACAAGGGAUAUAUACGGUGAACAUGUCCAGAGUGUUCUUACACUUUUCAUAGUUAACUUCUUUAGCAACAACUUUUUUAUGUACCUCUGUAAAUGGUGAUUUGGAGCUUAUUUCAAAUAAUGAAUAUUGAAAACUUUGUUCAGGACAUGAAAUAUUUGGAAAAAUCUAUACCAUAGUUCUAAGAGUUUACUCUACAGGCCUGUUUUUCCCAUCUAUAUUUGGCAAAAUCUAUAUUUGUGAAGUAUCGGGCUUAAGCCGGUUUCUUUAUCACUACUAUAUUUGGGAACAAUCACAAGGUACAGUUGGCUGAUGAUUAUAUUUUUCCUCUCUGAUUUGGAUACAUCUAGAUAGGUUUACUACCUUUAGGCUGACCAUGCUUUCUAUCAAUGAAAUUUUCAGAGAUUGCUUCCUUUCAUGGAUGAUGUCCUCGAGAAAAUUUACUAUUGCAGUAUGUUCCCUGAUUCUUAGUAUGUACACAAAUAAGAUUAGUCUAUGAGUUUGUCAUACACAAAUUUAUCUAUUUGUAGCAGGGUCAAACAAUUAAACCACCCUAUGCAUCUUGCAUGUCUAGAAAUGAAUUAUUUGAAGGUGCUUUUUAAAAUGAUAUAUUGUUGUUAAUGCAUUUUUUACAGGAAUAUUAUUCUAAUUUAGUAUUCGUAUUGUCAAAUACAUGAUAAUAAAGCCCUUCUUGCGCCCAGUAAAGCACCAUUUAUGGAGGGUGCCGGAAAAAAAGAGUAGGACGGGAAGGAAUCUCCUCAAGUCAAAUGAAUUACCAUUUUGUUAAUAAAGCACCCCAUGCGCCCAUUGUUCUCGAAUCUCAUACCUGAUUGUUUGAACUGCAAUUGAAAAUUUGAUGUAUUGUAAUGUCAGAUAAAAUUGCCGCCAUCAACACCUAUGUUCCAAUGCAUUUGGUGGUUCAGGUUUUUAGUCUUCCACUACAGUACUCUUUUUAAUAUUGGUGUGUUAGAUUUGAAUUUGUUUGUGAUUUUCAGCCGCACACGUUGAAGAGUUACCUGUCCAGGUCCCGCUUGCUGGCAUGUCCGGCUACCGCCGGAGCUAUGGCGGUCUCAUCACCACAUGUUUUACUCGCUAGAGUUUGUGCUAGCUUUUCUCAUUUUUAUUUAUGUGUAUACCUAUUAAUAUUUGCUCAAGAGGAACUUGUAGAACUCCGCUCUCUCUUGUCAGUAGCUUGCAACAUCAAUAAUCUGAAAUUUCAGCCAUACUAUUUUAUCUCA